ensembl:lncRNA
CCUCCCCUACUAAGAACGUUAUCUCUUUACACAGUGCAGAAGGCUUCUUGAAAAGUUUUUGUGCAACAAACAGCGUAAAAAAAUGCCUGUCAUAUGGCUGAGGAAUGGACAGAGCCCCCUCCUCCUCCCCCCGAAUGGAUUUUGAGAUGUCCUUGCAGGCAAUGACACAUCAGCAACAUUUUGAGAAAAUGCAGGUGGACAGUUUUGCGGAAACUGCAGCCAACUGGAUCUGAUACUUGGAAGUGAGAGUCUCCCACCUCAAUCACCGGUGAAGCAAAAUGUCCAAAUCCGUGACAGUAAUGUGAUUUAUCAAAAUGUUGCCCCUGUAUAUCAUCAUCCCAACCCAUAAAAAGAUUUACACAAACAGAUUUCACAACCUCCCGUUUUCACCCCCACAACCUUCGUUUUACACCGACUGGUAGAAAAAUGUAGGCGACUGAACACUGCCCUUCAAGUAAUCAAACAUCAAGUAAUAUGAAACCGGGAAUGGUUUGGCGAGGAGAGAGAGAGAGAGAGCAACAACUACAACUCACUUAACAGACUCACAGGCCAAAAGAAAACAUGAAAAAAAGAGGAACCAUUUGAUCAAGGAAAGUCACUGGGUCAACGAGAGCUAAAUGCCAGCCAAGUAGAGUCACUGAGGGUUCCUUCCACCGUCCAAAACUGUAGCUCGCGGGGGGAGGCUGCUUCUCCUGGCUGAGUGUUCGCCGCUUUGCUGGUUCACAUUCGGGAAGGGUUUUGUUUUUUAUUUUCCCGCUCUGGGGGUUUCCUUGUUGUUUUUGGGGUUCCAGAUUAUUUCCUCCAGUGUUUUUCCUAAUUCUUCCAGUGUGUGUGCCUGUCUACCCAAAGACCGAGAGCCCUUGCCAAAGGAAAGAUGUCGAUAGCUGAGAUGAGGAUGGGAGGGCGAGAGGAUGAGAGUGCACAGAGACAACAAUGCUGACUACGCUCUCUAAGCUGAAAUUCAGUAGCACAACAACCAAAGAAAGACUUGAAAGCUCACAGCUGGUGUCACGUUCGAUAAAGCGCAUGAGGAGGUGAAGUGAUGGGGUGAUGUUAGAAAGUGUUCUGGUUAAAGCAGCGUAUUCUCUGCUCAGAAAACAUUGGAAAACGAUUUUAAGAGUGCAGAGAGGGAGGAAGGAAAGGACAAGCAACAGCAGAGUUAAAACGGAGCACAAAUCAGGAGCAGUGUAAUUAUAGUUCUAUUAGAUAAUGGAUUAUCGGGGCUGUUAGUAUUUAGCUAUGAUGAGCUAAUAAAAUUAAUAAUAAAAUUAACAGCUUCCUCAUAAAAUGAAACAGAUGCCACAGAUGGCAUUUCGUUUGACCUAGUUUUGCAGUAACAUGUCCAUUAUGCAUUAGGAUUUGUUAGGAAUUCAUGUGUGAGUUUAAAUGAGGAGUUAAAUAUUUAGAUGAAUAGGUCUGCACAAGGAAUUUUACUGAGCAUUUCUACAGAGCAAACAUUUUCUUUGCAACCCUGUCUCCUAGACACUACAUUUACAUACUUACUUGCACCAGAAUUUACAAUUUGUAGAAAAUGUACUGCACCAUGAAUCCCAUUUUCUAUCAACAAAAGCUCAAUCACAACCUGUUUCAUUUGUUUUCUGCCCGAACAGCCUGUGCUGUAUUACCAUGCCUGUCUGUAGUACCUACAGCAUUAACAAAUGUUUUCAUUGCUAAGUUCAGAGAAAAAAUAUGGUCUGCUUUAAUACAGAAAAAGUCUGCAGUGACUUGGGACAGAUGGUGUUCACUAGUAUUUAACCAAAACCACAAUUUAUCACAAAUGUUAAUACAAUAAGGCUCCUUUAUAACUAAACUGCAUUCAAAGACAUUUAGAGGAAAAUGUAUUUUCUACCAGAUAAUGUUUGUCUGUAAAGGUGUGACAAAUGCAGGUCUAAUCAGCAUAUAUCAGACUAUUUUAAUUGCUUUACUGUCACUCCUUUUAUGUAAACCGAUCAUAUAUUAGAUGGGACGGGACCCGUCACCCUGGUUCCCAAAAACUGGAGGAGAAGCUUUAAUAUGUUGUGAAAGGGUCAUAUUUUAUUCUUAAAUCUAACUAAGCUUCAAACAUUUGUUUAAUGAAUGUUGCAAUUCUAACCCAAUGCAUGAUACAUUUGUAAAUCUAACAACAUUUUUAGGUGUCUAAACCCAACCAAUUAGUGAGUGAAAAUAAAGAUAAACACAAACUGAGAAUUAAACUUAAGAGCAGCAAAAAACCUCACCUUGCCUCUGAACAAAGUGCAAGCAAUAGUUAAACUUGACAACAGAACAUAUUUGGGAAUCCUAUUUCUAGGAGACAGGAUUGACUCUCUGACGUAAAGUAAAAUUCAAAGUUGUUUCCACUUAAACAUGGAUUUCCAAAACAAAUCUAGCCUGUCUCUCGCUUCAGCAAAGAAACUGAAUCACAGUAUCUUCUGAUCUUAGUGAGAAUGUUCUGGCAGCGUGUAAUCUUUCAGAGCUUGUACAAUUCACACACCAACUAAAUACCCAACUGAUCACUCAAAAAACUCAUCAUAUUUAUCAGAAACAUUGAAACUUUACCAGUAAAGUGGUAAAGUGUCAAGCAAAGUAAAUGUUCUGAUCCAGAACUAGAAUAGUAGUGGAUGUGUCUGGUAAUUGAACAUAGGCGCACUUGAAAUUUAAUUUAAAAAACACCAUGUAUUACAAAAAGCUAAUUUUCUACUUGAGUGUUAAGUAACUAUGCAAGAUUUCAUGUUGCAUGUUGGUUCUCCAAAGCAGCAAAUACUGACCCAGUUCAUUGUUACUGGGAUAACCACGAAACUCCACUGGAAAACACAUACGCACUUAGUACCUGUAUUGCAAUUACUGAAUAAUUCAACAUAUGUACAUUAACACACGCAGCCAAUAAACGACUCCAACAUUUUCAGCAUGAGAGCUCAAAUUGAUCCUUAUAACUGUAGCCAGUUGUUUAUGGGUCUGACCAGCAGUAAAACCAUGAUGAUGCUGACAUUAUGGUGCCUAAAUGAUCCCUGUAAAUAUGGAGCAGCAGUGCGGCAGGUGUCUAGAAAGCAUACGGUCACAGCAGGCCCUCACUACCACUAUGAUUACUACCCCAUACAGUAAAUGACCAAAUCCCUCUGCUGGACUUUCUCCUUUAGUGUAGUGUAGACGGCUGCUGUCGAGGUGGAUCAGCCAGUCUGCCUUCACACUGUAGCCAUAAUAACUUUCCUACAAUGCCACGCUCAGGCACCUCAAUAAAUAAGCAAUUUAUUCUGCUAACUGCAAACCCUCAGCAUGGAACUCCAUUAGACCUGAAGCAGACAUGGACAUGAAGGAGUGCAGAGCUGACUCAGCUGAGGGUUCCAUCUAGCACUGGUCUUGUGAUUUAUUUUAUCUUAAAUUCGCCAACAUGUCUGACCUGUAGCAUCUUUCUGGUAACCUUACAUCACUACCUUUGUCUCUCCUUGAAACGCAGGAGUUAGGAAAUAUGAUCUUGUAAGUAUCAUAACAAUUCAUGUGCAGCACAGAUGGGGGACAUAUUAAAGCAAAGCCUAAAUGCUUGACUUCUGAGGGGAUCCAGUUGGUCUGUUAUUCUAAAGGGAGAGAUUUUCUGGAAUGGUUUGGGUCCACUUGCCCCCAAGAGGAAAGGGUCACUGCAAAUCAAUACGAAUUUGUUUGAGUGAUCCCCUACGACGAAACAUUUCUACCCUGAUGGGAGUGGUCUCUUUCAGGGUGUCUAUUCUCCCAUCCAUAGGGCACGAGGGGUCACUGAGUGGUUUGAUGAAAAUGAAAAUGAGGUGAAUCAUAUGGUAUGACCUUUAACAGUCAUCAGAUCUCAAGUCAAAUGAACAUCUGAGGGAGAUUUUGGACCAAUGUGUUAGACUCUCCACCAACAUCAUCAAAACACCAAAUGAGGGAAUAUCUUUUGGAAGAAUGGAGUUUAACCUUCCAGUAGAGUCCUAGAGACUCCAGAGAAGGAGGAGCUGAAGCUGUUCUGGAGACACAUAGUGGUCCAACAUCUUGCUAAGACACUCAGUUUUUUCCUGUUUUUGCUACUGUCUGUAUGGCAACCCUAAAUCCUGCCUAAAAACCAAACACUGCAUGACGCUACCAAACCAGUCAACCAUGCUGAGAUGAGUCAUAGUCUUCCCCACGGUGUAAUGCAUGUUAUUUUGCCUCAUCUCUACGGGGUCAAAACGAAGGGCGAUGACCUCCCCCUUUAGCUCAUACCUCCUACGUCUGACAGACAAGGGAGAUUACGGUGCUGCAGAGGACUAGAAUUUACCUGUCUAGCAUGCAACUUGUCACAUACAGUAAAUACAAAUCGCCCACGGUGCAUCAUAAGCUGAGAGAAGCCAGUGCCAUCUUUCUGGGGGACGUGAGAGGAGUGAGUCUCAAAAUACCGCAACACAACAUUGGCAGAAAUCCGGCAAAAUAAAUGACCCACCAUUCAUCUUCCAAGCACAAACCUGCUCGCAUAUGGUGUAAUAUAAAUCCUGGCAGUCGUGCCCUGCCUACCUUUGUCUUCGUCUGUUUUUACUGUCUCUCUCUUCUUCCCUUGUGGUUAUCCGAGCCCCCACACUGAACAAACCUUUCCGAGAGAGCCAGAGCCAUGAAUAAUAACUAUCAUUAAUCAAGAGUGGUUGCUUGAAUACAUAAUCUGAGACUAGACUGAACCCAUGUAGGAAGACUUUAAAGUUUGCAUUAGAUACUUUUUUGCAUGUUAUUCCGUCAAAUCAGGAGGCACCAAGCAACAGCACAUCUGAAAUGGAACACUACAGAUUCGUUAACCUAAGAAUGGAAGACAGGUGUUGGACAUAUCAUCUCAACAAUGAAGAAAAAUGCUUUAUGCCAAAUAUAAUGAAUUAUAUGUGUGCUUAACUUUGACAGAAUGCCCUUUAAACAACUACAUGAUGGGCAGAAUAUAAGAGCUGUUAAUUGGUCAUAACUACUUGUAACAGCUAUUAUGUUAUUCUGUCAUAACGGCCUCUAGUGAUUCACUAUCCAACACAGUAUGAGCAAUUACUGCAGUAUUCACUGGGCAUUAAUUCCAUCUGAUUCAAUGGGCUGGAAGCAUGUCUGAGGCAAGCCAAUGGAAGAUCACCUCUUCACGCUGGUUCACACGUUUCCUCUCUAUCCAGCUUUCAAAUCAAAUCACCGCCCGACUCAGUCAGCCUUGGCUUAUUACUCAUCUGCUCAUACAAAUCAAGGCCACUCGCAACCGCAAUAAACCUCCAGUGACAGCAGAAAGGGAUUUCUCUACAAAAUGUGAGCUCUGUUUCUACAUCAUCCCAUCCAGAAAACACAGAACUGCAUGGUAAAAAAUGACGAAUAAAGGUGCUGAAGUCAUUGUGCUAAAAAACACCAAAACCAGGCCGGUGAAUGAUGUUUACAGGGUUGCUCAAGUUCAAAUACUGUUGUGUUGGGCAGCAGCUAAAAGAUCAUAUAUUUGAGUUAUGUCGCACCAAAGGAAAAGUGAUCGAUGGGGAGCUGUGCUGGUCCAAAAUAUAGCAAGCACAGAUGAAAACUCACACUUGACAGUUGUCUGUAUCUAUCAAUAAUUGUGCCAGUGUUUCAGUGAGUCAAUGAAGGAACAUAAUAUACAUUUGUUCAACUUUGUCUUGCUGU